GACUCCUUUACUGGAUGCGCUAGAUCUAUCCCAUUCUUUCUAUUCUUAGUGUAGUACCUGUUCUUACAUCAAUUGAAGAAUUAGGAGCACUUGGGUUGGAAAGGGAUCUGAACUCGACUCGUUAAGUCUACCUCUGCUCUUGAAUCUCUGCUCUUGAAUGCUGUUGAAGAGUUUCCAUUUGAAAGGAAGAAGUCACCCAUAAAGUGAGAAUGAAAGUAAACCAGAGGGGUCUCGUUGCUUGGCCCUUACUUGCAUUAUGUAUUUCGCUACCUACCUUGCAUCUUCCACACACAGAUUAGUCUACCGAUACUUUAGCAAAGCCUGUCCUUUAUUACUUUCAUUAUGUAUCUCACCUUUGAUUCCAGUAGUUCACCUAUAAGUCCCCCUUUUCUUUGCUUUCAUUGAGGUAAACUAUAUCCGGUUGAGCCAAGGCAGGGAGACCAACAAUCAAGCUAUAUAGAAUGAAAAGCAUUAGUUUUCGUUUUCAAACAAGUGUAAGUCAGAAUGUCUCGCUUAGGGGUUUCGAAAGGAUCGGAAGAGCUUCUUUAGUGUAAAGAGGUAAGGCUCGCUGGCAUUGAUUGAAUCCCUAUUUGGUUAGUUCCAUUCCAUUGGAGGAGUCGUUUUGCCUUGUUUUAACCGGCCCAAUUCUUAUUAGUAGUAGCUACAGCCCUAUCAAAAGGAAAGUCAGCCGGGAAUCGAGUAAGGAAGCUUAGGGACCCCAGGAGGAAAUACUUUAGGUCCAGCAGUGGCAGACUCGAACAAGAGCUAAGGAGUUCAAUUCCGGGGUCAUUAGCCGACACUUGGAGUUGGGAGUGCAAAAGUGAAGCUACCGAACAAGGCUUGGAGCUUUGGUUGCGGGGUCAGUUCUCUAGUUAGGUAAUUCAUAUUUGUUCUUCGGGGUUUCAGAAUGCAAAUAGGGAAUAUCAAACGAAUCUUUAUGUGGUGAAAUAAGAAAUGUCUCCCUUAGGUUCAGCCAGGGGUUUCAUCAGCUUUCAACUAACAAGCACGACUUAGAGUCAAGGGUAAGAUAAGAGGCCAUAAGGAUGGAUUGGACAUUGAACACAUAGUGGUAAGGCGAAGACUGCAGGAUCGAGUUCUUUAGUCUAGGGUUGACUCCUUGGCUUACUUGCUCGAUUCUGACUUGAUAGUGGGAUUCCUCUACAGCCCAGUUCCGUUUUGUCCUCUUAUGCUUCCUAGGCAUUCUUAUACUCAUUAAUGGAAUGGAAUUGACUAUGCCUAAUGGAAUUGAAUUAACUAUGCCGAUUCCUGUGCCUUAUUCCGAUUAUUAUGCUGGAGUGCAAUUAUGUAGUUUGAGUUUGGUUCGACUCCUCAACAGUUAAUGGACAGAGCCAGUCUUUCCGCGCUCAUUCCGAGUUGCGUUUCCUCCGUUUCCGUCCUAGCCCUCCUAUCACUAUUCCUCUUAGUCUCAUGCGCCAGUGGAUCGUACCAUACCACUACGACUUUUGUUUCUGGUGUCUAGGUUUCAUAGGCUUCAAAUGCAGAGGGCUCCUACAAUAGGCAAUAAGGCAGGGUCUCUCUCUAUAGACGUUAUAAGGCUUUGCGCUACCGUGGAGUAUGAUUGCUACGCUGUUGAGUUGUUCUAUAUUAUUUGUUUGACUAUUUCUUCUACCUAGAUGCACUACAUCGUACCCAUAUUAUUUAUACUAGGGUUAAAAGCUACAAGUAAUAUAAUUUAUUCGUCUGGGCGUAGCUCCACUCUCUUUAAUAAUAGGUCCAUGGAUUGGUUGUCAAGUAAGCUCAGUAGUAUUGGAAUGGACGAUAUUAACUAUCAAACAAGUCAGAAUGCGCGACACCACCAGUGAACAGGAACGCACAUGGGAUCGAACAAGAACCUAACUUGGAUUUUCUUAACGAGCACAGGAUCAACAAUAACAAUAAGGGCAGGUAGGGUCACAGCUUCUUUUCUCUAAGGCACGUUUCGGGCAGAUAUGAUUUGCACUUAAGUGCUCUGUUUUGUUAACCUCUUUAUAUGAGUGGAGAGUGAUAUGAAUUCAUAUAUGAGUUUCUAGUGCAGUUACAUAUUCUAGUUUCUAGUGCUGUUAAUUAUGUAUUAUAUGAUUGGUGCUAUAUAUUCUUUUCUUAAGGUAUAGUUUGGCAGUUAGGUUAGGUGUUGCGCUUAUAUCAUAUGUCUACUCAACCUAGGUCACCUAUUAUUCGAUUUUUGAACUACAUCCAACUUUCAACCUUACUCUCCGGUUUGAUCUAAAGCGGCGCACAUUUCUCACUUUGACACUUAGCGCAUUUAUGGAGUUGGGCUUCUUUAUCGUAAACCUUAUUUCUAGCCGUUGAGGUCUGACUAUGCUAAUCAUCUAUCAUCGAGCGAAAGGCUGUUAUAAAGCAUUGACGCCUAUUUUAUACAGGAUGACUUGUGAGCUCCCCUAACGCACUUGUUCUUUCGAAAGCCCCCUACUUUGUAAAGGAUAUGAGUAAUCAACCAAACCCCGAACUCUACUUUCCGCUGGCAGGAUACCCUUACUUUAGCACAGCUGACUGACUUGAUACUUUACCUGAAGCAGAAAUAGAUACUACACUUGAAGCCUAAUCUCCUAACGUGCUUAAUUAGCAUAGAACUUUGGAAUAUUACCUGCACCGCUUAACCUAAGCUUCUGGAAUGUAAACUACAUCUGAUCUUGUCGACUUUACUCGACCUGGAACAGGCAAUUCAGAUGCCUACAUUGGUGAUGAAAGGGCUCUUGCAAGGGAACAAACAAGGGAGUUCAAGGGCCCUAGGGCGGUGAAGUCUUUCCCGCGUACUUUCCAAGUAUAGAGAAGGUUCUGCUACGUGGGCUCAGUUAUGGGCAUACACGGGUUAAGCGAUGCAAAAGAUGGAUCUUAAGCCUCAGAUGGAAAGUCAAGUGCUUGUGUGAAACAAUUCCAGUCAAGUUCUCAUCUCAAACACAAACCACAGGAAACAGUCUUAAUUCCGUAAGUCUAUGUCGAAUAUCUUUCCUUGCACUGAACAAGCGUUAGGUGGGAAUUCAUUCGGUAAGCUGUAUGAGAAUAAGAACCCGUAAGCCGUUGCUAAGGUUAGCUUGUCUCUGACUUUUGAGUGUCAUUCUCCCACUAUUCCUGGCAAUUCAAUUAAUGUCGAGUUCGGAAAUGAAAAAGAAAAGAAAAGCUACGUCCGUUAUCGAGGUGGAAGCGGCGGUAUUGCUUGCCAGGUGUUCAUUCAUCGUAUCUUCCUACUAGUGAAAUCAGAUAACAAAGUAACCAUGGCUCAGGUCCACGAGUGCCACUUUCCAUUUCUCAAAGUGACUUAAGGAAACGUUAAGGCAAGCAAGGACGCUACGAGUCUUGUAAACAAGCCGAACUGCCUGAGCUACCUGGCUUUUCAAGACCAUUAGAGUAGUUAACCCAACAGAAAAACGUGAGCGGCUUUCAAUUAGAAGUUCAGCUCGAGUGAACACGGCCUUUUACUUCACUAUUCAUUAUUAUAUAUAGAGGUAUAGACUAUUCAUUAUAUAUAGAGGUAAUGGUUUUACUUCACUAUUCAUUAUAUACCUUUUACUUCACUAUUCAUUAUAUAUGGGUAGGGGCUUCCUUCUAUUUUCUUUCUUUUCAUUAGUCAAGCUUCAGCUUUCGAUGAACUCCGUCUUUUUCCUUUGGCUUCCGCCUUGCCCUAACCCUAAGUAGGUGCCUUAGUUUACAAUUUCACCCUUGUUUUUCUUUAGCUAAGGAAUGCCAGCUACCAGACUGAGCUACCCUAGCAACAAGAGAUGCAACAGCUGCAAGCCGAGCUGCCCUACAAGAAAAGCUAGCUGACCCGGAUAUACAACUUUGCAACUAGUCUAUUCGCACACCAAAAGAUAUUUGACUUUAGUACUACCUUCAGUACGACAAGGGGCUGUAUAACCCCAAAGAGUGAAUCUCUAACAACGACACAAGCUGUUUCACUUUCAAACUCGGCAUUCUAUGGUGCCUGACCCUAAUCCACUUACGGAAUUGGAAGGAACCUGUUCCCCUUUCAAAAGAAUUCAGAUGGCUAAUAUAGAGUCCGGGGGGCUACUAAAUAUCUCCUUUACCUAAUAGAGCACUAAAGUCAAUUCCAUAGCUACCUUCUCUAUCUCUUGGAUCCCUUUCAUGUAAUUAGCCUUAACGGCCUAAAGGUUUACUAAGUUAGUGGAGUAUCGACGGCGUAGUGAGUUCUUUCUUUUAAUCGUAAAGGCAGGAACUUGAAUCGAAUCCUUAUUUCUAACUACAGCAAGGCAAGCCGAGCUAACAGAGCGAAACAGCCCCACUUGGUAGUUUGAAGACAAGGCUUCUACCAACUAGGAAAGGGAUAGGUUUGAGACUACUAAGCUACUAGUCUCCCCAUCCCCGAUCUCUUAAAGCUUAUUUCUCAAAGGAAGCUAACAGGGUGGGUUUGGCCUAACUUAGCCGCAAGACAAGACUGAGAUCGAAGUGUGGUAUCUUAAACCUACAGGGAAGGAGAUAUUAGGAGAAAGCGCUAUUUACUAGCCACUUGCUAGGCCACGGAACCAGCGAACAGAAACAACGUUAGCUCCGUGAAGUAGAGUACGCAUCUUAGUACGCUAAGGAAUAUGAUUAGUAAGACAGACGUACCCUUAUUGAUUGCGCAAUUCCACUCUCGCCUUAUUUCGUUUCGGCAUUCACUCGAGCUAGGAAGCCAGCUAGUCGUACUCACCGUUUUCCGUCGUGUCUUGAAGGCGUGCCCCCGUCCGCCCCAACCUAGGAACAAAACAAAGACGUUGCGUUUCCCUUUUGGGGGUGAAAAACAUCCCACAGUAUAGUGAUAGUGCCCGGUCCACAGUUGAAGAGUCCGCCUUCCCUUGAAAAACACCACACAGAGAAAGGGUUCUAGUACAGAUGCUCCGGAAUAUGAUUAGUAAGACAGACGUAGAAAGUGCAGAUUACUAUAGCAGCAAAAGCAAAUAGAUCCUUGUUCGAGUGUUCUUAUGGUGUACCCGUCUGGUCUACUAUAGUCUUUUCACCGUCGCUAGCAACGGCCCACCAAAUGGCACAACCACAGUAGCAGCCUUUACUAUCUCUUGCUCUGGUCUACGCUCCCCGAGUCGCCACCCUCAUUUACAACUAUAAACAAACAGAACUACUACGGAUAUACUUUUCUUAUGGCAAACCAUUCGAUUGAAUGCAAUCUAUGAUUCAAUGACACGAAAAAGAGAUAGAAACAAUAGUUUGGAUAUACAGCUAGAGUAUUGGAAAAGCAGCUGCAAAAUCAACAACGGGCACAGUCUAUCGUAGAUCCCACAUGAUGCCUUGCACCCUCCCUCACCAAACCUUGUCUCCCGCUUAGAAACUUGCUUUGAGUCGAGCUCACUUUCGAUUUCGCCCUGUAUUGCUAUUUUCUAUUUGCCAAAUGAAAUCAUAUCCGCCCAUGCCCGUCGGUAGUCAUCUCGAUAGUAAUCAUCAUAGUGAGUGCCGAUCUUUCAGAGCGGCCAGUAAGAGGUGUGUGUUGAUGUUGAUCAUUAAAGGUUUGCUAUGGUAGGUCGAGCCAUGGUACUACAGGAGUUCCACUGUUCAGAUAGACUCAUGAAUAAGGGCUUCCUUUUUCGUUUUUCCUCCGCUGGCAUAUGUAUUUUCUGCAUUUUGUUUGGGAGUCAAAGCAGUGGUGAGACUGUGUCUGGUAAGCUUACGAGUUCUACUGUGGGACGGGAAGAAUAACAAGCAGUGUAUAGUAUAGAAGAACUAAUAUUGGUAAUUACAGAGGAAGAGGUCGAAAUUAGGACUCCCAAGAACGCACACAGGACACAGAUCCUUACUCUUUUCCUUUCGCCAACUAGAACCGGGGGUAGGGGUCAAAUGCUUUUUCUAUAAAGAAAGAGAAGAAGAAUAUAGCUAGCUUCACACAUACAUGAAUAUAGCCAGCUUCACGCUCAUCCUAAAGAAUCACAUAUAGGUGCAGCAGCCUCUACAUUAAGGACAGAGGCAGAGGAUAAGUCUCGGUGGGCUUACUCCUUACUUACUCCUUACUGACUCAUAACUCACUCCUUACUUCUAACUCAUAACUACUAACUUCCUUCCUAGCCUAUUAACUUCUUGAAACAAGCCCAGCUGCUGGCAACACAGAGCCACUUGCAACAGGCUCGGAUCUGGUUUCGUUCUUAGACUACUUAGGUUCAUUCUGACACCCCGGGGAGGACUGGUAAGGCUGUUACUACCAAGUUGCAUUCUAAUACUUAGCAGUUACAUUCUUUGACUAGCUUCUUCAAUUCCCUUAGUUUCAGGUUAGCGAGUCAACUUCCUGGUUUUCAUUCUGAGUUGAACUAGCUCCGUUCUAUGACUUACUGGUUGAAUUCUUACUUCACUAUACUAGAUGCUAGGUCUUCUCAAUAAAACAUAGCGGUGUGGACAAUCGGUAGGCAACAGAUACUAGCUAUAGCCUGUAACUACCCAGAGCCCCAUACUGUAACUCCUUGGGUUAAGCCUGAGCGGACAGUAGUAAAGCCUGAGAUGCACUGGUUUGAGUCUGUAACUGCCUUACUUCAUUCUUUGACUUGCUAGCUCCAGUCUUAGUCUGUAGAGUGCAAUUCCGUAAUUCCUACUUAUGAGCUUGCUGGCUCUUCUCUGAUCCUAAACCCCUGGCUCUGCUCUAACUGGUUCUGCAGCCCUUUUGCCUUGGAAUAGGAUGAAAGAGUAUAGAGUGAGUGGAAUAUGUAUUAGUAGGCGGUGGUCAACACCUCUUUCCGGUAGUCGAAGGUAAGCCUCGUUAGGUUAGCUCGUCCGGUAAGAAAAAGUGCAAGUGACUUCUAGGAUUUCGAGUUCCGUGCUCUAGGGCUUUGACUUCUCAUAAGGAUCACUUUUGGAAAUAGCGAACCUGCUGCUUGCUCGUGGCUUGUGCUAAUGCAACUCGGGAAUGAGGGCAGGCUACUGUCAGACUACUUGCUCUUUGUCCCUAACUCUGUAGCUAAUAAGUCACACUGCUUCCUAUGAUCACUCGACUCCCAGAGCUCCGUUAGUGCAAGUAAAAGAUGCUAUAAAGUCUCCAAUUUGGUCAGAUCUUAACUAAUUAAUAUACAAAACUCGCUAACGCUUGGCUUAACUCAACAAGCAACGGCAAUAAAAGAGUAAUUAAGUGGAGGCUAAGGAAAAGAGUCAUUAAGUAGAGGCUAAGGCUGCUAAUAAGGAUGGUCUUCUUUAAGCAAUGGAACAAACUACGGAAGAAGAGAAGUAUUACUCUCAGGUCUAACAAACGCCGGAAUAAGCUUAGGCACAAUAAUAAUCAAAUAAGUAACGGCUAGAAUCAUAAUAAAAUAAAGUGAAGUGAAGUAAUGGCUAGAUAGAUCCAAAAUGUAAGUGCAUAUAUGAUAGAAGUAAGAUAGUAACAAACCACAGCUUAUGAAUAAUAUAGUGCAUAUUCCAUAAAUGAUAGUAGUCGUCGUUGUGCAUUAGUGAGUGAGAAUAAGAAUAUAGGGUAGGGUUAGCACUGUCCGUACUUACUGUUGUUGCAAGAGAAGGAGAAAGACACUCAGGUCAUUCGAAUUGCAAUAUGUUAAGUCCUAGCAAUCGAACUCUCCUUGAAGUGGAGAAUGUUAUAAAGCAAUAACACUCUCUUACAUGACUUGCUCCCAGGAUUCUAAGAUAAGAAGGAUGAGAAUGAUAAUAAGGAUAAUAAGCGGUGCUAGGAAAGGAGACCAGAGCAGAGCAGGGGCAGAGCUAGUAGUUUCUUAUGGGCUUGUCUGCUUGGCUGUCUCUUUGCUCAUUGAACUGUCAACAACUCUCCCUGAUGCCACUAAGUCUGGGUCUUGACUUUAACUGUAUGAAGAAUUAAUGGAAUCUUUAGUGCCUACCCUAUAUUGCCUACCCUAGUAGAUGAGAAUAGUCAUAUUGUUUUGAAUCUUACCUCAUUAUAUUAUACCUUGUUUUGUUGCAGCUGACGCUCCUGCUACUGCUGAUCUUACUCUUCCUUAAAUAGGUGGGUAGGCGCAUGCGCAUCCCGAACAAGACACUGUGAUUGAAUUGUGCCUGGUCUACUGCCUUCCUAAGCAUUCUAUUUCUAUGGAAAGGAUUAUUUACAAGAACAGAACCCUUCUUCACUAAGAACAGAACCUUUCUUCACUGACAAUACAGUCAACGGCUAACUCAACUCAAGCAAGCUACCUUUCUGAAAGCUGGAAGAAACCUAGCUUCUUAUGUUGUAGGGCCUGUACCUGACUUGCCCUUACUUAUUAAGCGGCUUGCCCCUUCCUAUCUUUGCCCUUGUAGUAUACGCUUGGCGAAUAUAAUAAGAAGUUCCAUGUUCAAUUCCCCAGGUGUUGGCGACGAGGCAGGAAGUUCAUGAGUGGAAUCGACUCUCGAAUCAGAGGUUCCGCUUUCAAGAUGGGGGGACUAGAAAAGAAAGAAAGAGAAAGAUAUGAAGCGGGUAGGUAACAUUAUUCUAGUUCGGGUGCUCCAAAUACAUAAUGGAAAUUGUGAAAUAGAAUAAUCAACUGCUGAAGUAAAGUAUCUAGGAGUUGGCACAGGAUCAGAUUAAGGAUCGCAGGUAAAGAUGCAAGAGCAAGGAGGGCUAGAUUCAUAUUUCUUAAAGAAACAAAGUAGCUCGCAAAAGAUCAAUCAGUAUUUGUUGAGUCGGCCCAAUAAACAAGUGUAUGGUUCGCCAGUGAAAUCUUUGACUUCAUAACAAGCAACGUGGAGUUGAGCUGAUUGGUUACCACCAAUUAUGUUUUAGGGGGCAGAGUGGAACAUGGGUAUUACCACCAGACGAGAAUAGAAUGGCCUUAUUGACCUUUGACUUGAUUAUGGCCUUCUUCAGUGCCCAGCUCUUUCACGAAGACAGGUGAACUCAGGUAAUACUUAAUGCGGAAGUUAACUACUCGGUUUUUCGAGUUAUUUUGUAUUUUGGUUAUUUUAUUACAAUACCCCACCUUAGUACAAGUCAGUCCACCACCCUACCCGAGCCUUGUAAUAGAAUGAUGAGUUGCGAUAACUACCCAAACACAAGCACGGAACCAGUAUCUGAGUCCCCCUCACCAAAACCCGAGAAAGUACGACGUAUUAACUGACGUUGCUUCUGGUGUCUCUAGCGGUUCCAAUCCAAUCAUGACUAGUGUCUCCUAGCUUACCGAAGUCAGCGAACCCCUUUGCUUUGUUACAAAGACCUCUUUCGGAGAAUUUCGCUACAUCUUUUCGAAAACUCAUUUCCAUAUUUGAUACCACUUCUUUUACAAUUCAUUUCCAUAUUGUCCACUCCACUACUUCUUGUACAAAAGAAACUCAGAGCUCAUCUCAUCUCUGCAGGGAACACCGCUUUAGACGCGAAUAAACGCUCUAUAGGCGAAAAUCCUCCGCUCUAAGUGACAAGGGACGAAAGCAGAAAGGACACUCUAAAAACGAAACAGCAGCCAAGAAGCCGAACACACAGCUGGAGUAAACAAGUAACAGCAGCGAAUAAUGGCACCAAAUGAAUAAGAAAGCGAAGGACAACGAGGGAGGGAAAGCGGAAAGGAAGAGUAGCUCAGAUAAACCAAUGAAACAAGCAACCUAGCCUAACAGUAACGUCCAAACAACCAACGGCGGAAUAAACACGCGCAUAGCUGACGCGAUAACAACAGCUCAAAAACAUGUGUAGUAGACCAUCCUUAGAAGCACUGACAUAAUACCAAGCUCAUGAACUACCCAGCGGAUCAAACUCCCAAGAAGUCCAAUUUCCGGAAAUACGUCCUAUUAACCUUAUCUAGAGCCGAUGCAACGAAAGAAGUAGCAGCUAUCCAAAGAGAAGAAAUAGCUCAAAGGAUAGAAAAGGCUCCAUUGUGUCUUAGUAUUAUAGUAGCUAAGGAGCAUCACGCAGAGAUGGGGCACUACCACUUUCAUAUUGGAAUACUCUUGGAAAAAGGAGUUCAUAGAUUAAGCGCUAAGAGAACCUUUAGGAAGUUGUUCCCUGAAUUCGAGGGGGCACAGCUAUAUGUGUCAUUUCACAGGGCACACACGUCUGUGUGUAAGUAUGCUAUGAAAGAAGAGAAAGAGCCAUUCGUCUGGGGAAAACAGUAAACCAGCCGGAUAAAAGAAUCUGUUAAGGCUCAAGAAAUGCAAAGAACAAUACCUGAAAGAAACCAAUGGGUUGUGCAACGGCUAUAAACCUAUGAUAACUGGGAACAAGUGUAUCAAGAGCCAGAAAUAGUAAAGAUGCUCGUGUAUCAAGAGCCAGAAAUAGGCAAGAUGCUCUUCUCGUCUUACAACUCCAUAAAGGCGGUUUUCGAAGAUUUGCAAGGAAUCAGAGAAAGCGAACUCCGCCUAGAUCAAAGGUUUGAAAGCUACUUGGAGCAAAGAGGGUGGCCAGAAGAAUACACACUACAAUAGCUAAAGGAAAAAUGCUUCCUAUUCGACUGGUUAGCAACGAAUCUUAUCUUUGGUAGGCCCAUAAAGACAAAGCUGCUGUUGUUAUAUGGAGAAAAGACAAAGCUGCUGUUGUUAUAUGGAGAGCCAAGCACACAGAAAACACUCUUAUUUCACACAGAAAACACUCUUAUUUGAAAUGAUGGGGGAAGUCUUGAACGAACAUAUACCACGCAUCCAACAGAAAGAAUGACUUCAAGGGGGUACAUUAUCAUUAUGAUUUAUGGUUGUUCGAUGAAUUCCAUGUAGCAGAAGACGAGAACCUGAAGGCGGGCAUAGGGAAAGCUAUCAUUGCUGUUGCCAAUAACACAUUAGAAAAGGGUAUUGGAUGGGAAGCAGUGCAGGUUAGACACCCAGUAUGGCAAAAUGUUCCAUAAGAAAAGGAAUGUACCCGUUGUCACUAUCACUAAUGACCCAGUAGGUUGUAUACGAGAGAAGGGAAAUGACCCAGUGGGUUGUAUACGAGAGAAGGAACCCUUCCUAGAAAUAUUCAUGAGGUUACGCUUCACAAGCAAGAGACCCUCGUUAAAGGCGGAAAGGGGAAUCGAAACUAUAUAGGGGUGUAUACUAAGGAGGCUCGGCUCCUACAAAUGGGAGUACGGUGGGAUCAGGCCAAGGACAUACACAUUAUUGCAUAUAAUGAAGAGGAAGCGACCAUACGCAUGCUGCUAAAGAGCUGCCAACCACUGCUAAGAACACACCAACAAUGGAACGUAUUCGGACUAGGUGAUGUAGAGAGGAAUAUCAUACUGGGAGGCAGGGCUACACAUUACACUAUGAGCAAACAAAGCCGGAAACUCACUGUAGCUUGCAAUGUACCUAUGAGCAGAAUGUUUCCACAUGAGCACAUACACUUUAAUGCACUGGUUAGUUUACAACAAAUGUGCUCCGGACAGGCAAUGGGAGAUGGGGAAGCUCUCAAAGAAAGAAGCAAGGACCGACCCUAGCGCUCCUACAAUGCGCCUACGUACCAAUACACCCCUGCAAACAGAGGAGCUACAAAACUCAGGGGGAUGCAAUGGAUGUUAAGGAACACUUACCAGAGGAAGGGAAGUGGAGACGAGACCCUUACGUAUUGGAGUAAUAACAGAGAAACCAACCGAGGACAAGCGUGGGACUGAGCAAGACGAAACAGGGGGUGGGUGUUUGUAUGAGAAGAUGUAAAGGUGCUAAGAGCCUUGUUAUGCGGCGUCGCCUUGGAAAACCUAUGACGAAAAAGGGGUUGUAUGGGAAGAUGUAAAGGCUUGACCUUCUUAUGCAGCGUCGCCUUGGAAAAACGAUCCUAUAUAGAAGCAUGCGGCGUCGCCUUGGAAAACCUAUAUAGAAGCAUUAUGGCUAUCCAACAAUAUUGCCUUAACAUACACAAACAUACACACAUAUAGAUGCGGGGGACCUACACACAUAUAGAUGCGGGGGACCGACCUAGAAAGAUAGAUCUCUUCAAAGGAGGGUGAGGCUUAUGGUAGUUGCAAUAAGGACAUAGAAAAGGGAGAAAUUAAGGACAUAGAAAAGGCAGUGAGAUGAGAAAUACGGAAUGGGGGAGUAGGUGCUCCUGCCUUACUUAAUUGGUGAGUGGGUGCUCCUGCCUUUAUGAGUGGGUGCUCCUUCCUUUAAGAAUGGGGUGGACCGAUGUGGGUGCUCCUGCCUUUCUUUAAGAAGAGAGUUGACUUACCGCUACUCCGAUACAUCUACUAAUAGUGCCAAAGCUUAGUUCUAUUGAGUUGUUUGAUAGAUCCAAUUCUUAACUGAAAAGAUAGGUCGGCUACAGGUAAGGGUGAUUUAGUUUCAAGAGCAGAAGCGGGAGUAGGAAAUGUAGACAAGAACAGGAACAGGAGUGAGAGUAGGCUCGGCUCCUAUAUGCCUAUGGCUCUUUUCACUCUGCUGGCAUACUACACUGUUUCCUCUAUUAUUAGUUAUUAUCUCUAAUGUCUUCGUGAAUGCAAGUUAUUAUAGUGAUACUUGGAGUUAGGGUCAACAGAUACUUUUAGUUGGUAGUCCAAGAAUGAUAUAGCAGUAAGUAAGGUAGGAAAUAGCAGUAAGUAAGGUAGGAAGGACAUACUCCGGGAAGAUAAUCGGAAUGUGGGGUUGUUAGUUUCAAAGGUAUAAGUAGCGGAAGUCGAGCUCAAGUCUAGUGAAUAAGUAAAGUAAAGCGGGAGGCAGACCCAUUAGCUUGCAUUAGAGAAUGAGACACGAACAGGCAGGACACUAAGACAGGACAUUAAUCCCAAGAGUCGGUGGAUAUAAGAUUUUCCGCGAGUAAGGUAAGGUGUGUUGGCGUGGGAAGGGCCAAGCUACUAAUACAAAUAGGGAGAGUUGACAGCUGCUAGUUGAGAUGAGCAAGAGGGAGGUUUAGGAUAUCAGAGUUGCGGUAAAUCCUAUGGUAGUUCCUUGGCUGAUAGCUUCGUUAGUCUAGUGGUUGACUCUACCUCUGCUCUGAUUCAUUGACUCUACUUUGAAUAAUGAUGUUGACUUAACGUAGUUGCUUGCCGAGUGGAAUUACUUAAUGAAAGUUCCAGUUUUGUUAUUGCUAGUUGAAAUCUUGCUAUCCGUGGUUCAAUUCCUUAUUUCGUGUUUCGUAGUUCGAGCAAUGCCCCUUUAGUCUCAUUCUUUUACUACUAGAUUGAAUGCUUACUGCUGAGUAGCACUCUUGACUAUAUGAGUGAGAUACCCUAGCGAUAGAGACUUUCUUUAACUAACAAACAAUACUUUGAGCUGGGAGAGGCAGACCCACAGUAGCAGUGUCGGCCUUACCGGUACCAGUGAAAUUCUCUAUUAUCUUAUUUCAUCUUAUAGUGAGUCGCGGAAGAAGUUAGCCCCGGGAAAGUAAGGGCUGCUUUAGAUGGCUAGGUUACUAUAUACUAAUAUACCAAUAUCCGAAUAAAACACUACAUUGUGGAGUCGAGCUACUAUCCCUAAAACAACAACUUGACAACUAAGGCCUUAUCUACUCCCUAUUAGUAUUGCUUGACUUGCUUUGAAACUGAUAUCCCCAACUCCUAAAAGUCGUAAGCCCUGUCUGUUAGCUAUACCAUAACUCUACGUCCUGGGGCCCCGUUCGCUUCUUCAGUUUCGAGUUAAGUGAUAGUCCCCUAGUUGGAAGCUUAAUAGUAAGGCUCGGAGUCGAGAGUAAGAAAUCCGAAUUAGUUGACUGACUUGGCGGUCAUUAGUAGUUACUUGGCGGAGAGGAAAGGAAACAGAGAGGAAAUACAUUUUCCAUUCCAGCUUUUCAGUGCUAACCAGAGCAGAGCAAGAGGUAAGAGGUAUGAGGUGUAGCGGGAAGUCUAUUCAUUUGAAAACUAUCUGAAUUAUGAAAUAAGUCUAUUAAUGAAGGAAUAUAGGUCAAUAGGGUAGUUCAUGACUUUCUACGUUGCUUGGCUCUUGCUCUAGUAUACGCUUGCCCUUUUCGUGGGGCAUAUGCGAUUGAAUCUCUAGAUACUAUUUCAUCUCUCUCAUCUAACAACUAAGCUAGUCGACUUGUCACGCUCUCUUUCCACUAUCUACUUUUACUCUUUAGUGCUUUAUGACUUUUUUCCUCCUUGAUUGACACGAUGGGUUCUUCAGCAAACAAACCUUUAUGUGGUCGACCCAGAUAAUGAAUCAGCGGGAUAUUCAGCAGGAAGUAAAGUGGAGUGCGGUUAUAAAAGUUAAUGAGUUUCAUCCUAGUCUUAGAGCGGGUCUUCAAGGGGAGUUCGAAAGGCAGCAGUAAUCGAGUCUUAAAGUCAAAUAUAAGGAGGUUCUUCUUGUCGAGGAAAGUCAAGUUUCCUUCUUUCUUGUUAAGUAAACGAGAGAGUAUGCUAAUGAAAGAUCAGGAUCAGAAACAGGUAGGUCAGAAUGCCCAGAAUCUUAAGUUCCGAGAUAAAGCAGUUCAGGUUCAAGUAAGCAAUGCAGAGUAUCAUAUAGAAAAUUAGGUAAUUAAAGAAGAAGGAAGAGGUUAAGCGGUAGCGGUAAUUGGUUCAACAAAUCUUGUUCUGUAUGCGCAUGCGCCUAUUUCCUUAUAAGGAAGCAGUGAGGAGUCCGCGAAGUAAGCAAUUCUAGUAUUGUCUACAAUAGAAUCAUCCGCAGUAACAGAAUCCGUAGUUCUAGGAUCUUCCCCCGCUGUAUAAGAAUUAACGGAUACUGACGCUGAUGCCACUGACGCUAAAACCACUGAGUCUUCUUGGGCCGAGUAAAGUGAAACGCGUCACCAGUCCUUGAAUAUUUCUUGCUUGUGAAGAUAAUUAGUAUUAAGAAUUGAUUGAGUGCCACCUGUUCUAGAUUGAAGUCACUUUAGACCUAUUACUGAUGCGGCUAAUGCUAACUCUUCUGCUCUAUCCGUGGACUCAACAAAUACAGAAUUGACAGUUGAUCGAGCGCCUGUAAGAGAUUCUUCCCCAAUAACAACAACUUGAAGAAUGAGAUGAAACUUUAGCCACCGAACCUUCUUCUAAAAAUAAGGCUUCUGCGCAUUAUGUGUUGGGGGCAGUAAUAGCUUCGGAUCCUGAUCUCGUAGACAAAACCAAAAAAGAAAGAGAUUUGUGUACUGAUGCUAUAUAUAGGAAUGUACCUUAACCGAGUUGUAGAGUAGGUUGGGAGGAAUGUACCUUAACCGAGUUGUAGAGUAGGUUGGGGCAAUCAGAUCUCACUUGACAGGCUUUGAAGCGGGUAAGGAGAGAAAGGGGAGUGAUUGUGCCAACAAGUAGUUUCGUAGCUAAGAGCUUCUUUGGAGCAAGAUCAGAGGGAUAGGGCAUCAAAGGCUGUCUAAUUAAUAGAGGCCAAGCGUAUACUAACAUGGGGCGGCAGGAGCACUAGGGGUUGGUUAAGAGCAAUAGGGUAGCUAUUCCAUCUCAAUACCCGGCAAAGGAUUCAGUUUCCCCAGAAUCAAGGGAGCAAUAGGAGAGAAUUGAGAGAUAUGGGAGCCGGAGUUAUAUGAAAUGGAUAACCGCCCAACAACUACGUUAUUAGUAACAUGUGCAUUCCUACUUUCCUUCCUACUUUCCUUUGCCUAACUAUAAUUGAAGCUUCUUCUCUUUACGACUUCACUCGAUCCGCCAUUAAGUCUAUUUAUUGUACAUGCUUGGCCCACGAAGACAGGACUCGGUAAGGGCACCGAACUAAUAUUGAUUCUUUUACUUAUAGCAGUUAGAACGGAAAAGCCUUUACUUGAAACUACUAGCUCUCUCUUUCACUCAACUACUAGCUCUGGUAUUCCUAAACUUCCACUCCCUUUCUAUUAGCCGAGUAAACACCGAAAACUUCCACUCCCUUUCUAUUAGCCGAGUAAACACCGAGUAUUAGGCUUGAAAUGUACAUUGAUUUAAAGGACAGACGCAGAGGAGAGAGAGAAUCCGUUGGGUCUGGUACUUGCUAUGCGAGGCGAUAGUAGCAACAAGACUAGAGUGAUGAGCAAGUAAAGGCAAUAUUCAUAUUAUUUCUGCUUGACCGGUACUAUUCACUCUAUUUUCCAUGAAUUCUCGGUCUGGGCCCCUACUUGCACAUUUAUUCCUAUGAAAUGGUCUACUUAUUUUUAGACUGAGAUGGCUGCUCUUUCGACGGCCGGACUAAAAACCCCACUUAUACUUUAGUGCUUUUCCCGAUAGUAUCUAACCCUUGAGCAUGUAAUUGCCCUGAGGAAUUGAUCCCUACUAGACGUAAACUAGUUGCUUCGCUUCCAUCGGGUUACGUACUCUUUACUGGAGAGCUACCCGCAUUGCCUUCCCGACUUAGCCUUCGCCUUUCACUUUUCCAGUAUGGAGGGAUAGAAGAGUUUGUUGGAUACAUAACGCCAUCUAUCUCUCCUCUCAGUUUACAGGUAAUCCAAUGUUGUUGAAUGUACGAGCAGGAAAGAUUUCCCUUGAUUUGAGCAUGACCUGCCUGAUGAAAUAGGCCCAGCAACUAUUAGCCAAGUCACGUAUACAAACACAUAGCAAGCAAUAACAGAAUUCUACCCUAUUUCUUCUAUGCUAUGAGACCAUCUUUGGCAACGGGCACUAAGCAGUGUAUUUCAA
rnacentral:lncRNA from 1 species